rnacentral:rRNA from 1 species
UACAGAGGGGGCGAGCGUUAUUCGGAAUUAUUGGGCGUAAAGGGCGCGUAGGCGGCUUGACAAGUCCUGGGUGAAAUCCCUCGGCUCAACCGAGGAACUGCCUUGGAAACUGUCUCGCUCGAGGCCGGGAGAGGGUAGCGGAAUUCCCAGUGUAGCGGUGAAAUGCGUAGAUACUGGGAGGAACACCGGUGGCGAAGGCGGCUACCUGGACCGGAUCUGACGCUGAGGCGCGAAAGCGUGGGGAGCAAACAGG